rnacentral:rRNA from 1 species
CCUACGGGAGGCAGCAGUGGGGAAUUUUGGACAAUGGGCGAAAGCCUGAUCCAGCAAUGCCGCGUGAGUGAAGAAGGCCUUCGGGUUGUAAAGCUCUUUUGUCAGGGAAGAAACGGUGAAGGCUAAUAUCCUUUGCUAAUGACGGUACCUGAAGAAUAAGCACCGGCUAACUACGUGCCAGCAGCCGCGGUAAUACGUAGGGUGCAAGCGUUAAUCGGAAUUACUGGGCGUAAAGCGUGCGCAGGCGGUUUUGUAAGUCUGAUGUGAAAUCCCCGGGCUCAACCUGGGAAUUGCAUUGGAGACUGCAAGGCUAGAAUCUGGCAGAGGGGGGUAGAAUUCCACGUGUAGCAGUGAAAUGCGUAGAUAUGUGGAGGAACACCGAUGGCGAAGGCAGCCCCCUGGGUCAAGAUUGACGCUCAUGCACGAAAGCGUGGGGAGCAAACAGGAUUAGGAUACCCUGGUAGUCCACGCCCUAAACGAUGUCUACUAGUUGUCGGGUCUUAAUUGACUUGGUAACGCAGCUAACGCGUGAAGUAGACCGCCUGGGGAUACGGUCGCAAGNUUAAACUCAAAUGAAUUGACCGGNNGAGAGNGCGAGNGACGACGAGGAGAGG